rnacentral:rRNA from 1 species
AGCAGCCGCGGUAAUUCCAGCUCCAAUAGCGUAUAUUAAAGUUGUUGCAGUUAAAAAGCUCGUAGUUGAAUUUCGAGAUCAAAUUGUCGGUCGUGCCUCGGUACGUACUGGCAUUAUUGAUUUCUCCUUUCUGAAGAACCAUGAUGUCAUUAAUUUGGUGUCUUGGGGAGUCAGGACUGUUACUUUGAAAAAAUUAGAGUGUUUAAAGCAGGCUCACGCUUGAGUACAUUAGCAUGGAAUAAUGAAAUAGGACGUUUGAUUCUAUUUUGUUGGUUUCUAGGAUCGACGUAAUGAUUAGUAGGGAUAGUUGGGGGCAUUAGCAUUCAAUUGUCAGAGGUGAAAUUCUUGGAUUUAUUGAAGACUAACUACUGCGAAAGCAUUUGCCAAGGAUGUUUUCAUUAAUCAAGAACGAAAGUUAG